CGCAGCCACUAGUAGUGGUUCAUGGAGGUGCAAGGAGGCAGGUAUAAGUGACAGAGAGCAGGAGGAGGGAUUCGGCAUUCCAGAGGCCAAUGUGGGGCACAGAAGUUUGUUUAUAUUUCUGUUCCAGUGACUCCUGUGAAAUACCCUCUGUCUGGAUAAGGAACACACAGUGAGUGAAGGAAAGCAUGCCUGGUAUUUCUUGAAACGUCAAGAUGCUGAUUUUCAAAAGAACAUUCCAAGAAGAAAAUGAAAGUUUUUUCCCACUUGUUUUGAAAGCAGAAAGAGCAGAAUUUGCCCUACAUUGGAGGCCUAUCAGAGAACUGAAGAAAUUUUGUAUCUGAACAUCUGUUGAGUUGCAGUCUGGAUUAAAGAUUAAAAAAUAGAAGAAAGGAGAACCGGAGCCUUGAAGAUGGACGUCAACGGUUUUCUUAUGAACAGUGGAUAGGCAGAUGGUUUGUCUGGUUAUUGGUGGGCAAGAAGGGUACACUGGGAUGGUAAUAGAAAUUGUGGGCGUUGAAGUCCAAAACACCUGGAGGGCUGAAGUUUGCCUAUACCUGAGCUAGAGAGACCCACAAACUCCACUGGGAGAAAUAUUUUUUGGAUCAGUGGGAAGCUUUGAAUGGCAUUAUUAACAAGACUACAGAUGUGUUUCUACAGACUGACACUGCAAGAAGCUAUUUUGUAUUCAGGAAUGUCCAUUCUCACAAUUUUACAAUCUACUUGCCCUUUGUAGGGGUGUGGAUUGUAUUUGGCUCUGGUACAAUGAAACUGCUCAUAGAGGAAUAAGACUUUAAUGCUACAGUGUCAGUUGUUUUAGUGGCAGGUGUAGGAGAUAAAAGAGGAAAGUUAUAUUUGCUAGGAUGCAAGAUAUCAGUGUGUGUCAUAUAAAAGAAAGAACACUAAAUAAAUACAAUAGAACUGAAAGUAGAUUAGUUUGUGACUGGUUUUUAAAUGUGUUUUCCCCAGCUGUGUACUAUUUUGAAAAUGUAGACUGUUUUUAAGAAAAGACAGAACAAAAGGGAGGGUUUCCCAUUUGCUCUUUAUGUGAUUAAAGGUUCUCCCUUUUCAAAAAUAGAAGCAAAAUAAAAUACCUUAUAUAGUACUUGAAUAAUCCAUCUCUAAUGACAUGCAAAGAAAAAAAAUACCCUGUCUGGCUUACUUCCAUUUCAUUUAUGUCCAUGCAAAAGUAUUUUUGGAAGAUGUGUAUGAAUCCCCUCUAAUGAUCCCUCCACCCCUGUAAUGUGCUGCAAACUUCUUGGCUCAUUUGUCUUACUGGCAACUUUUUACAAAACACAAGUUCUCUGACAAUAUUUGCUGCUGUCUAAACUUAAAAGGCUACUGGGAUUGAUGGUGGUUUGGGACUAGUUGAUAAUUAGUGAAAUGUAGGCCUUAGCCUAUUGCCACAACUGAGGAUGAGCUCUUUAAGUCCUUCCCAGGGCCGCCCCUCCAGUAAGACUCAGGGGUCUAGCAAUGAGACCUUACAGAAAUAGAAUUGGGCUUGUUAGUUUCUCCAGAAAUAAGAAAAAAUAUUAACUGUUUUGCCCUGGGCAACCCCUUCAGUAAGACUCAGGAGUCUAGCAAUGAGACGUGACAGACAUGAAAAUAGGCUUGAAAAACCAUGCUAGUUUCUCCAGAAAUUAGAAAAAAAAUAGCUUUAACUGUUCAGAACUAAGAUGCCUCAUCCCUUAUGGUGUCAUUCAAAGAGCAAAGAAGUAUGGUUCUUCUGUCCAAACUGCCUCUUAAUCUUCUGCUUGUUGGUCUACCUCAUUUUCCCAACAACCUAUUAAUCUGAGUUUGCUGUUCCAGUAUCAGUGCUGAUAGGGAAGUUAUGGGAUCUUCCUCUGUCCACCAACUGAAAAAAGGGGAACCCAAAUAAGUAACUGACAAUAGGUGAAAUCCUUAUUUGUUUAUUUUCCUUGCCUUUUUUUAAAAAAACAGUUUCACUGGCAUUAAUAAUAUAUGCUGUUGAUUUAGUAUAUCUGGAAGAAAGAGAAGCCAUUGAAAUCAAGGUGCAAAGCUUUACUAUAGUGUAAGAGGCAAACUGAAGAGACCAUGUUUACCUCCUCAUCUUCUCCAGACUCAUUAAAAGAUUCCAGUUGGAUUCCUAUGGAAGCCUUGGACAUUUUUCCAACAAAGGCUGUGUCUUUACAAAUUCCUUUUGAUCCUAUGGAUCAAAAAUGGGCUUUGAAGAGUUCUAGGCUCAUACAGCAUCUCACUUGCAGCUAUCCUAUAAGUGAGAGGCUAUUUAAAUUUUCUUGUUGCCUUUAUUCCAUGGCAGUUCCAUCUAUCUCUGGAGUAAAUGUGAGCUUUGAGCUAUUAAUGAUAUGAGUUCUUUGCAAGAUUCUAGGGAUCAGUGAGGUAUCAGUGUUCCUGAUAUUAUUGUAGUCAUGGUAUUGUGAUCCUAUCCAUGGUGAUUCCAUGCAGAAGUUUUGUCAGUGCUAGUUCCAAAGUAGCAUUCACUACUGGAACAACAGUUGUAUCCUUAUUUUGUUAAUAAAGAAUAAAAACCAAUAAAAUAAAUGUUAUUAA